GUAGGUGGCAAGCGCUGUCCGGGAAUUAUUGGGCGUAAAGCGCGCGCAGGCGGUUCUUUAAGUCUGAUGUGAAAGCCCACGGGCUCAACCGUGGAGGGUCAUUGGAAACUGGAGAACUUGAGUACAGAAGAGGAAAGCGGAAUUCCACGUGUAGCGGUGAAAUGCGUAGAGAUGUGGAGGAACACCAGUGGCGAAGGCGGCUUUCUGGUCUGUAACUGACGCUGAGGCGCGAAAGCGUGGGGAGCAAACAGGAUUAGAUACCCUGGUAGUCCACGCCGUAAACGAUGAGUGCUAAGUGUUAGGGGGUUUCCGCCCCUUAGUGCUGCAGCUAACGCAUUAAGCACUCCGCCUGGGGAGUACGGCCGCAAGGCUG
rnacentral:rRNA from 1 species